UACAGAGGUCCCGAGCGUUGUUCGGAUUCACUGGGCGUAAAGGGUGCGUAGGUGGUGGGGUAAGUCUGAUGUGAAAUCUCUGAGCUCAACUCAGAAAUUGCAUUAGAAACUACCUUGCUAGAGGAUUGGAGGGGGGACUGGAAUUCUCGGUGUAGCAGUGAAAUGCGUAGAUAUCGAGAGGAACACCAGUGGCGAAGGCGAGUCCCUGGACAACUCCUGACACUGAUGCACGAAAGCUAGGGGAGCAAACAGG
rnacentral:rRNA from 1 species